UAGGGAAUCUUCGGCAAUGGACGAAAGUCUGACCGAGCAACGCCGCGUGAGGGAAGAAGGGUUUCGGAGCGUAAAACUCUGUUGUUAGAGAAGAACAAGGACGUUAGUAACUGAACGUCCCCUGACGGUAUCUAACCAGAAAGCCACGGCUAACUACGUGCCAGCAGCCGCGGUAAUACGUAGGUGGCAAGCGUUGUCCGGAUUUAUUGGGCGUAAAGCGAGCGCAGGCGGUUUCUUAAGUCUGAUGUGAAAGCCCCCGGCUCAACCGGGGAGGGUCAUUGGAAACUGGGAGACUUGAGUGCAGAAGAGGAGAGUGGAAUUCCAUGUGUAGCGGUGAAAUGCGUAGAUAUAUGGAGGAACACCAGUGGCGAAGGCGGCUCUCUGGUCUGUAACUGACGCUGAGGCUCGAAAGCGUGGGGAGCAAACAGG
rnacentral:rRNA from 1 species